CACACACACACAAAACCAUGGUUUCAUACAAAACCGUGUGCCAAAACCGUGUGCCACACACACACACAUACACACACACCCUCAAUCCUUCCUUCUCUCUCGAAUCGUCUCGAUCCUUCCUUCUCUCUCUUCUCUCUCUGAGUCUUCUCCCUUCCUGUAAUUGUUCUCAGUCUUCUCCCUUCCCCCUUCUCCAGUUCUUCCACACACACACACAGACAUCAUCUCUCGAAUCUCGAUCCAUCUCUCGAUCCUCCUCGUCCGCGUCUCCCUCUGCUCCUCCCAUCUCACCAGCCCUAAACCCAGCCGUCGACACCACUCCAUAAUCGCCUUCUAAACCACCUUGUUCCAUGGAGAAGCCGUGUCGUUAGUCCUAGUCGUCGAGUCGUAACUGUCGCGUCAUCGCAAAUCAACGGUUGUGGAGAAACUGAAUGGAGGCAGCGGACACCAGAUGAUGGACCGGAAUUCAUCGUAGUCGUCGGUGAGGAGCACGACGUUGUCCCAGCCGUCUUGGAUUCGUGAGGAAGACGACGUUCCCAGGCUCCUACUACCAUAUUCUUCUCGGCUUGUAAUUUAAUUUUUGUACAGAUUUCGAAUUUUCUGCAUGUUGCACCAUUUUUGUACUGAAUUCGAUUUUAGGGAUUUAGGAAUUAGGGAUUCAGUUCAUUUGCUUUGAAUUCGAAUUUGGGGAUUUAGGGAUUCAGUUCAUUUGCUUUGAAAUCGAAUUUGGGGAUUUAGGGAUUCGGUUAAUUUGCUCCGGCGUUCUUCUCCGAUUUGAAC
rnacentral:lncRNA from 1 species